GGACUACAGGGGUUUCUAAUCCUGUUUGCUCCCCACGCUUUCGCACCUCAGCGUCAAUAUUGGCCCAGGUCGCCGCCUUCGCCACUGGUGUUCCUCCCGAUAUCUACGAAUUUCACCUCUACACCGGGAAUUCCGCGACCCUCUUCCAUAUUCAAGCUCGCCAGUUUCGAAUGCACUUCCAGGGUUGAGCCCUGGGCUUUCACAUCCGACUUAACGAGCCGCCUACGUGCGCUUUACGCCCAAUGAUUCCGAGCAACGUUUGCACCCUCCGUAUUACCGCGGCGGCUGGCAC
rnacentral:rRNA from 1 species